CCUUUCAUUCUUUGUGAACGGUUGGAUGAAUCUAAUGCUUCAAACAUAGCCACGUGUCUUUAUUUUUUCUCAAAUAUAAAAAAUGGUAAACCUGCACGUGUCUGCAACACCAUUGUCAUCCAAAUCAACCUCCAUUGUAUCACCCUCGUUGACUCACACCACCGCCUCCGUCGUUAAAUCGACCAUUGUUGCAUCUCCACUACGGUUCAUCUGCCGUCAUCGUUGACCUAUAUCAUAUGUGCUCUCACCUUGUAGCAGCUGCAACAAAAACAUUCUCAAACUAUUUCCAAUGUCCGAUUGAGAUGGCACCGGUGGUCGGAGUGCAUGAUGGUCACAUUUUGUCGAUUAUCUUGGACUCUCGUAAAGUGGUGGAGGAGAUGAAAAUGCUAUCCACAGUGUUCAAUUUGUCCUUUCAUUUUUAUUUCAAAUUAAAAAACAGUAUCAUCUAAAUCUUAAGAUUGAUUUAAUGACAACGGCAUUUGCAAGUGAACGCUGGUGGGGAUGCAACAAUGACGGUCAAUUAAAUGACGAAGGUGGUGGUGUGAGUCAAGGACGGUGGUACAAUGAGAGGUUUACCAUUUUUUAUCUUUGAUUUUUUUAUUUGAGAAAAAAAUAAAGACACGUGGCUAUGUUUGAAGCAUUAGAUUCAUCCAACCGUUCACAAAGAAUGAAAGGUAGAGUACCUUUCCCGCCACAAAGUUAGACAAU
rnacentral:lncRNA from 1 species